rnacentral:rRNA from 1 species
CCUACGGGGGGCUGCAGUGGGGAAUAUUGGACAAUGGGCGCAAGCCUGAUCCAGCCAUGCCGCGUGUGUGAAGAAGGCCUUCGGGUUGUAAAGCACUUUUGUUGGGGAAGAAAAGCCGUCGGUUAAUACCCGGUGGUGAUGACGGUACCCAAAGAAUAAGCACCGGCUAACUUCGUGCCAGCAGCCGCGGUAAUACGAAGGGUGCAAGCGUUACUCGGAAUUACUGGGCGUAAAGCGUGCGUAGGUGGUUUGUUAAGUCAGAUGUGAAAGCCCCGGGCUCAACCUGGGAAUUGCAUUUGAUACUGGCAGACUAGAGUGAGGUAGAGGAGAGUGGAAUUCCCGGUGUAGCAGUGAAAUGCGUAGAGAUCGGGAGGAACAUCAGUUGCGAAGGCGGCUCUCUGGACCAUCACUGACACUGAGGCACGAAAGCGUGGGGAGCAAACAGGAUUAGAUACCCGAGUAGUC